GAUGAACGCUGGCGGCGUGCCUAAUACAUGCAAGUCGAGCGAACAGAUGAGGAGCUUGCUCCUCUGACGUUAGCGGCGGACGGGUGAGUAACACGUGGAUAACCUACCUAUAAGACUGGGAUAACUUCGGGAAACCGGAGCUAAUACCGGAUAAUAUAUUGAACCGCAUGGUUCAAUAGUGAAAGACGGUUUUGCUGUCACUUAUUGAUGGAUCCGCGCCGCAUUAGCUAGUUGGUAAGGUAACGGCUUACCAAGGCAACGAUGCGUAGCCGACCUGAGAGGGUGAUCGGUCACACUGGAACUGAGACACGGUCCAGACUCCUACGGGAGGCAGCAGUAGGGAAUCUUCCGCAACGGGCGAAAGCCUGACGGAGCAACGCCGCGUGAGUGAUGAAGGUCUUCGGAUCGUAAAACUCUGUUAUUAGGGAAGAACAAAUGUGUAAGUAACUAUGCACGUCUUGACGGUACCUAAUCAGAAAGCCACGGCUAACUACGUG
rnacentral:rRNA from 1 species